rnacentral:rRNA from 1 species
AUUGAACGCUGGCGGCAGGCCUAACACAUGCAAGUCGAGCGAGCGGCGGACGGGUGAGUAAUGUCUGGGAAACUGCCUGAUGGAGGGGGAUAACUACUGGAAACGGUAGCUAAUACCGCAUACCAUCAGAUGUGCCCAGAUGGGAGUGGCUAGUAGGUGGGGUAACGGCCAACCUAGGCGACGAUCCCUAGCUGGUCUGAAAGGAUGACCAGCAAGACUGGACCUGGGCAACGGUCCAGGCUCCUACGGGAGGCAGCAGUGGGUAAUAGUGCACAAUGGGCGCAAGCCUGAUGCAGCCAUGCCGCGUGGGUGAAGAAGGCCGUCGGGUUGUAAAGCACUUUCAGCGGGGAGGCGUUACCCGCAGAAGAAGCACCGGCUAACUCCGUGCCAGCAGCCGCGGUAAUAC